CGAAUGCUGACAUAAGUAACGAUAAAGCGGGUGAAAAGCCCGCUCGCCGGAAGACCAAGGGUUCCUGUCCAACGUUAAUCGGGGCAGGGUGAGUCGACCCCUAAGGCGAGGCCGAAAGGCGUAGUCGAUGGGAAACAGGUUAAUAUUCCUGUACUUGGUGUUACUGCGAAGGGGGGACGGAGAAGGCUAUGUUGGCCGGGCGACGGUUGUCCCGGUUUAAGCGUGUAGGCUGGUUUUCCAGGCAAAUCCGGAAAAUCAAGGCUGAGGCGUGAUGACGAGGCACUACGGUGCUGAAGCAACAAAUGCCCUGCUUCCAGGAAAAGCCUCUAAGCAUCAGGUAACAUCAAAUCGUACCCCAAACCGACACAGGUGGUCAGGUAGAGAAUACCAAGGCGCUUGAGAGAACUCGGGUGAAGGAACUAGGCAAAAUGGUGCCGUAACUUCGGGAGAAGGCACGCUGAUAUGUAGGUGAAGUCCCUCGCGGAUGGAGCUGAAAUCAGUCGAAGAUACCAGCUGGCUGCAACUGUUUAUUAAAAACACAGCACUGUGCAAACACGAAAGUGGACGUAUACGGUGUGACGCCUGCCCGGUGCCGGAAGGUUAAUUGAUGGGGUUAGCGCAAGCGAAGCUCUUGAUCGAAGCCCCGGUAAACGGCGGCCGUAACUAUAACGGUCCUAAGGUAGCGAAAUUCCUUGUCGGGUAAGUUCCGACCUGCACGAAUGGCGUAAUGAUGGCCAGGCUGUCUCCACCCGAGACUCAGUGAAAUUGAACUCGCUGUGAAGAUGCAGUGUACCCGCGGCAAGACGGAAAGACCCCGUGAACCUUUACUAUAGCUUGACACUGAACAUUGAGCCUUGAUGUGUAGGAUAGGUGGGAGGCUUUGAAGUGUGGACGCCAGUCUGCAUGGAGCCGACCUUGAAAUACCACCCUUUAAUGUUUGAUGUUCUAACGUUGACCCGUAAUCCGGGUUGCGGACAGUGUCUGGUGGGUAGUUUGACUGGGGCGGUCUCCUCCUAAAGAGUAACGGAGGAGCACGAAGGUUGGCUAAUCCUGGUCGGACAUCAGGAGGUUAGUGCAAUGGCAUAAGCCAGCUUGACUGCGAGCGUGACGGCGCGAGCAGGUGCGAAAGCAGGUCAUAGUGAUCCGGUGGUUCUGAAUGGAAGGGCCAUCGCUCAACGGAUAAAAGGUACUCCGGGGAUAACAGGCUGAUACCGCCCAAGAGUUCAUAUCGACGGCGGUGUUUGGCACCUCGAUGUCGGCUCAUCACAUCCUGGGGCUGAAGUAGGUCCCAAGGGUAUGGCUGUUCGCCAUUUAAAGUGGUACGCGAGCUGGGUUUAGAACGUCGUGAGACAGUUCGGUCCCUAUCUGCCGUGGGCGCUGGAGAACUGAGGGGGGCUGCUCCUAGUACGAGAGGACCGGAGUGGACGCAUCACUGGUGUUCGGGUUGUCAUGCCAAUGGCACUGCCCGGUAGCUAAAUGCGGAAGAGAUAAGUGCUGAAAGCAUCUAAGCACGAAACUUGCCCCGAGAUGAGUUCUCCCUGACUCCUUGAGAGUCCUGAAGGAACGUUGAAGACGACGACGUUGAUAGGCCGGGUGUGUAAGCGCAGCGAUGCGUUGAGCUAACCGGUACUAAUGAACCGUGAGGCUUAACCUUACAACGCCGAAGCUGUU
rnacentral:rRNA from 1 species